GUAUUUAUUAGAUAAAGAACCAAUAUUUUUGGUGACUCAUAAUAACUUUACGGAUCACAUUAUGUGACAUAUCAUUCAAGUUUCUGACCUAUCAGCUUUAGACGGUAGGGUAUUGGCCUACCGUGGCUAUGACGGGUAACGGGGAAUUAGGGUUCGAUUCCGGAGAGGGAGCCUGAGAAACGGCUACCACAUCUAAGGAAGGCAGCAGGCGCGCAAAUUACCCAAUCCUAAUACAGGGAGGUAGUGACAAGAAAUAACAAUACAGAACCUUACGGUUUUGUAAUUGGAAUGAGUUAAGUAUAAACCCCUUAACAAGUAUCAAUUGGAGGGCAAGUCUGGUGCCAGCAGCCGCGGUAAUUCCAGCUCCAAUAGCGUAUAUUAAAGUUGUUGCAGUUAAAAAGCUCGUAGUUAAUCUUCUGUUAAUUUUUAUAUAUAAUAUUUCGAUAUUUAUAUAAUAUUAACAUAAUUCAUAUUACUUUUUAGUAUAUGAAACUUUACUUUGAGAAAAUUAGAGUGCUUAAAGCAGGCUAUUGCCUUGAAUACUCCAGCAUGGAAUAAUAUUAAGGAUUUUUAUUCUUCUUAUUGGUUCUAGAAUAAAAAUGAUGAUUAAUAGGAACAGUUGGGGGCAUUUGUAUUUAACAGUCAGAGGUGAAAUUCUUAGAUUUGUUAAAGACAAACUACUGCGAAAGCAUUUGCCAAGGAUGUUUUCAUUAAUCAAGAACGAAAGUUAGGGGAUCGAAGACGAUCAGAUACCGUCGUAGUCUUAACCAUAAACUAUGCCAACUAGAGAUUGGAGGUUGUUCCUUACU
rnacentral:rRNA from 1 species